rnacentral:tRNA from 1 species
UCUCUGGUGGACUAGCGGCUAGCAUGCGGCACUCUCACUGCCGCGGCCUGGGUUUGAUUCCCGGUCAGUGAA